GACUGCGCCGCCUCCCUGGGCAGCUGUGCCACCGCCUCACCGCUCUGAGAAGGGUUUUUUUCCUAAUAUCCAACCUAAAAAGGAAUGGAGUGUUAAUUCUUCGUGGCAGAUGCUGGGAUUGAAGGGCCGUGAAGAUGGUGAAGGGCCUGGAGCACCUCUCCUGUGAGAAGCUAAAAACGCUGUGCCUGCUCAGCCCGGGUUACUCGGACUCGGGGAUCUCUGAAGGGAGACCGCACAGAGGACGGAGCCAGGCUCUGUUCAGCGGUGCCCAGCGCCAGGGCCAGAGGCCAUAGGCAUAAAGCGGAGCACAGGAGCUCCCUCUGAGCACUAGGUAGCUCUCUGUGCCGUGCGGGUGACGGAGCGCUGCCACAGGCUGCCCAGAGGCUGGAGAGUCUUCUUGGAGACCUCCAAAAGCACCUGGAGGUGGGCCUGGGCACCGUGCUCUGGAUGUCCCUGCUGGAGCAGGGCCUGUGCCGGAUGGACCUGGAGGCCCUGCCUGCUUCAGACCCGCUGUGAUUCUGUGAAAUCUGCUGGCACCAGAAGGCAGUUUGAUGGUUUCUGUGGGCACGGAUUUUGUUGCCCAUGCCCACUUGUGAGCGCUCGUCUCUUGGACAGAGGCAGCCAGGCAGCCUUAUACUGACAGCAUUUUCCAGUCCCAGGGAAAACCUCCACCCUCCCAAGCUCAGAUCCUGAUCAGACUCAAGAUAGAGCCUGCCAAGCGAUUGCCUCCCUUUGUUUCUGGCAUCAAGACUUUAUGAGUGCCAGAAAAGCUGGGUUGAGUCCUCAGGCUCCCCUUCUCCUCAUCCUUCCCAGAAGGAUAAGAAGGAACAAUUUGGGAUGCUGCUGCAGCAUGGAUAAAGGAGGAAAAGGAUUCACUAAUUCUUCAGAUAAAGAACAAACCACAUGCUUCCCUCACAUUUCUUCUGAGGAGAACAAAGCCAGCAUCUCCUCAGCUUUCCACAGAAACUCCACAACUGGUUGCAAGUGACCAAUUUAGGAUGAGUUGGUGAAGUCACGGUGGAAACUGUGUUGUCAUCAGUGAAGAAAUAUUUAAGCUGGAAAGGAAGGGACCUGUGAGAGUUUUUCAGACCGAAAACAUGAAAAGCCUCAUUCACCAACUUAAUUGUAUCAAUUCACCAAAACACACCAUGACAGCAAAAGUCCUCUCUUCAGUCUUGCAAAGGAAGAAGCAUCUGCUGCUCACAGGAAGGAGAUGAUCCACAACUGCCUGAACACUGCCAGCAAAGAGUUGCCCUGAGGAGAUGAGAGGUGGCUGCCCCUGCCCUGCAGGGAGACCUGAACGAGAGCCACCUGAGGAGCAGACCAGGUGCUCAGCCUAUGUGGGGCGGAGCUGUUCCGCAAGGUAGGAGGCUGCUGGCAGCACCAAAGGAAGAAGGCACAGAGACAGCAGCACCCAUGGGGCCCCCGCCACUCAAGCGCCCUAAGAAAGCUCCACCCAAACCAGUGCUACUCCAGCCCUGCCAGUCCCUGCUGCAGCAGCACAGAGGGAAACGUGCCAGCCUCUGGCCCCCUUCAAGCUGCCACUGAGCAGACAGAUAAUUUUGGCAAUAUGUUUGAGUAAUACACCUUCUCCACUCUCAGGUCCUUUCAGUUAUUUAUCUAUUUAUCUCUGUAAUGGUUCUGGAAAUAAAAUGUUU
rnacentral:lncRNA from 7 species